CAUUACUCAAAAACAGACUAACAGAUUUGGAUGAAAUUUUCAGGGAAGGUCAGAAAUGACACAAGGACCAAGUGAUUAGAUUUUGGCAGUGAUGUGGCUUAUAAUCUGGAUCCACGGAUUUGUUAAAGAUUUCUGUAUCAUUGCGAGAUAGUGGCACGGUGUCACUGUAACUAUGACAACAGGUGAACACUACAUCAGCUGCCUGCUAACGAUCAUAUGAUUGCGAUCCUACUACAAAUCCACCGCUGCAGACAUAUCGGGACUUAUCUGUUGGAAACGAUACAAGGAACAAUUGAUUAAAUUGUGGGGGUGUUUCUGAGUCCCAUCAGUUCCCACUGCCUGGUACAUAUUUAGGUAUCCGUACAUAAAGUGCACAUGCAUAACACAUGCCUGUGCUCAGAGCAAGGUCAUUUUGUUUGUGGGUACACCUAUAUUAAAUGGCCACAUUCUAUGUUGAUUUCUGAUCAUCAGUAACUAAUAAACAAAUGGUGCAUUCUUUAAAAAAAAAGAUGCAUUUUUGACAAUGCCAUAUGGGGGAAUGAACAGCCUUGGAAGAGUACUGUGCUCUCUGAGUGCUUUUCUAGUUUGGUUUUUGUGCUAUUUUAAGAUAACUAGCUGCAGCCACAACUGUGUCUUCACUGCACAGACACGAGUCAUAUUUAUGUGACUCUCCAUGAAAACAAAUCCUUGAAUGUUUUUUUAAUCAUAUUGGAAACCUUUAAGAAGUCUUAGCCUUAUAUUUUGUGAAGUCAUGAGUUGGUUAUUUUUUGUUUUAGAUUACACUGUGCGGCUGCGAUUUGUGCCAGAAUAACGAAGCAUCUUUCUUCUUGCAAUGGCAGCAGUGGAACCAAAAUCUUCACGCAUGACUUGAUGGAGAGACUUGAGCAUGACCACUCAAACAGGAUGUGAUGCAGAACUGUCCACUUGUGUGUGUGUGUGUGUGUGUGUGUGUGUGUGUGUGUGUGUGUGUGUGUGUGUGUGUGUGUGUGUGUGUGUGUGUGUGUGUGUGUGUGUUUUUGCAGCAGCGAGUCUCACGCAUACCUGUAGCCAGGCUGAGCGGAGGGAGGCUGCCCGUCUGACUCAGCCUUGCAUGGUAAUUGGCCAGGUAAGGCUGAGAGAGAAAUUUAGACUGGUAUGCUGUUUCUUUCCAGUGCCACCUGUGUGUCUGUUACUGUGGGAUUUGUACCUCCUCAAUCACUGACACGUGUGGAUUAUCUGUACUUAAGGCAAAAAGCCAAUACAAGUCAUAUCUUGUGUGCGAGCAAUCAGGUGCUCAAACACUACAUAUCUUUCCCCUUUGUGAACAGAAUCAUCUGAAGAGCUGCUACCAACUAUAAUUGCUGUAAUUACCCGGAGAAGAAUGUUAUUUCAGCGUAAAACCUGAGCAUUUGUAAAUUAAUAUAUUUUUAAAAACACAGACAGCCACCCUGAAGCAGUAUUGUUUAUAAAACUGUUUAAAUUGAAGCCGUACAUGAGAUAAUUGUCGAUUUGUCCUCCUGACACUUGGCGGGUUGGAUGAUAAGAGGCGUGUGCGUUGUUUUGCUUUGUAAUGAGGCGCUCUGGGCUUCGUCGAACUCGGGUACAAACAGGUUAAAGGUGGGUCAACUGUUAAGGAAACAUUACAGUCGACUGAGUGAGACAGAGAGAAUAGGAAAUGCUGCUGAACAAUAAUGCUAAUCUCCCUCAUCAGAAACCUACUCACCUGGAUUUCUCUCUGUGUAGCUGCAGGUGGAAGUCUGCCACAAAGCAAAGAUACUUUCCUUUUCUUUGUUUAGCUUCCAGGGGCUGCUGACAUGGUCUAUUCACCAUUUAUGCUGGUUUGUUAACUUGCAUAAUAUGCCGUGUGUGUGUUAUUAUCCAUUUAUAGAAUAGCAAGGAGAGGCAGAGGGAGGUCACCAAAGGUUCACAGAUUAAAAGCCUCAUCAGUAAUCCAAAUACCAACAAAACAAAUGCAUCAAGCCGAUGGGAUGUGACGCAUGGAGUUUCUUAUUUUUGUAGUUUUUUGGCAACAGUUGUGGUUAAAAUAAGAUUUUGCUUACUAACUUAGUUGCUGACAUCUGAGAAAAAAGAAUUGGACGAGCUGUUGGAUGAUCAGGCAGGUUUCAAACACAACCUCAGCUCAGCCAACUUAUUUGGAUGAGAAAAUGAAGGCAGAGAGUGACAUAAUUUCACAAACUAUCUGUUUUAAACAGAAAGCGGGGCUUACAUAUUGAACUUUUAGUUCAGUUUUGGCCUGCAGUGCUUGCCGUAGUUGAGCAGGUUCUUAGUUUCUUGUGGAAUGAAGGAUUAUUUGGCUUUACCUGCUAAUAAAGUGCUUUAUAUACUUAUAUACUGACUUAUAAACUGUAAUCCAGCUAAAUAACUGGCUGUCUGAACAUCUGAACACACCCAGUUCUUGCAAAGGUCAGAACACAGAGUGGAAACGUUGCUCUUUUUGCAGAUCUCAGCAGUGAAGUCAUGAGAGCUAAGACUAUGAAAAUAAAAGUUGUGAUAGACCAAAGUUACCCUUUAAAGGUGAAUCUUUACUGAACCUUGAAAAUGUGCAGAGAAAGAUGGCACGAAGGAGGUUUAAAUAUUGCAUUCCCAAACAGUCAUGGAUUUAGGUUUAAAACACCACCUGUGCUGCUGUAUAAGAGCAUGUAAGGACAGUGUUAUUCAGCAGGAUGAAGCUUGACAAGCAGCAAGGCUUUAUUUGUAUGUCUGACAUAGACACUGAAACUGUCAUCUGGAUGUAGGUUGACUCUCCAUCUGCAAGUACAGAAAUGAAGAUAUAAAUGCAUAAGUUACAGAAAAAAAAGACUCAAAACAUGCAUGUGAGCCUGAAGCCUGAUUAAUUUAACAUGAAGAUCAGAGUGGAGGAGAGCUGCAGUUUCUUCAAUAGCCUCCAGAUAAAGUGAUUUCAAAUCGGUGCCGAAUUCUAAAACUCUUCUGGAUAAAUGAGCUCGGCUGUUUUCCUUCUAUUUCAGGCCUUCUUCUGUUUUCCAGGAAGAUUUUCAUCCAAAUUCAAAAGUUUCUGUCUUAUGGGACAGAAUUUUAUUACUACUCUGCACAACUAAUGCUCAGCUUUGUGUUUUAGCGCUUAUUCUGUGUGUGUGUGUGUGUGUGUGUGUGUGUGUGUGUGUGUGUGUGUGCGUGCGUGUGUGUGUGUGUGUGCGCGAGCGAGGCUGUAUACUUUUGCAGGUUAAUGAACUCGAGCACCCACACUCUGUCAUGCAUAGAGAGGCUUCAGCUGCACAAUGGCAGUGCGAUGGGUGUGACUGUCUCUUGGAUUAAAGUAGGAGAAUAGAUCCAGAAGCAGACUGGUUCCACCGCCUGCCUCACUGAGACUCCUCCUUAACGCCAAACGGGGAAAUCCUGACACUCUUUAAUGUCACAGUAUUAUCACAGUGUGUAAGCCUGAGUGACAGAGACCCUCACAGGGGGGACAGAGCUGGUGUUUGAGGUGCUUCCAGAGCCGGAAACAAACUCAGACCUGACAGACAAGUGUGGCGUCAGACCCCCAGAGACCCUCACGGCCUCACCUGGAGAUCGAGCGCUGUGGAUGCCUCCAUUGUGGUUCUCGCUGAUGGAGAAGUCCAGAGACGUACGUGGCUUCGGGGUAAACUCUUUCCUGGGUUUGUUAGAAGUCUCCCUUAUCCUGCGAAGAGGAACACAA